rnacentral:rRNA from 1 species
GACGAACCGUGCGAACGUUGUUCGGAAUCACUGGGCUUAAAGGGCGCGUAGGCGGGCGGUCAAGUCAAAGGUGAAAGCCCACGGCUCAACCGUGGAAGUGCCUCUGAUACUGGCUGUCUGGAGGGAGGUAGGGGCGUGCGGAACUUCCGGUGGAGCGGUGAAAUGCGUAGAUAUCGGAAAGAACACCAACGGCGAAAGCACUCUGCUGGGCCGACACUGACACUGAGAGACGAAAGCUAGGGGAGCGAAUGGG